CAAGGAAAGAAUAACAAGCUGCCGUACGAAUAUGAGUUCAUAUCAUGUGAUCUCUGUUUUGCAACCCACGGCGUCUGCUUCCUGAGGAACCACACAGGACGAGGAACAAGAAUAGGAAUAAAAACAGCACAAGGAUCAUGUUGCACUAUGUGUUCUCCAUUAGGAAUGCACGAUAUUGGACUAGAGCAUGAAGUGUCUCUCAUGGAGGAGUUAAAGGGGCUCUGGAGGUUCUGUGUUGCGCUGUUUGUGUCCAGUUUGAAGCCAGAAGUCAACGGUGAGUUCUUUUCAAAUUACAGAUCAACCUGUACAAGUUUACGAUUUCUUGCCAAAACCAAAUUGUGAACGUGUGACAGCGAUCUGGUGUGUGUUUUGCUGUUAUGAUGUAAUUUGUUGAUGAUUUUGUUCUUAUUCAGUCGUUUAGGUACGAGGAUAUGUUGCUAUUUUCACAUCACGUUACGAUCUGUUCAAAUAUAGAUGAUAAAAAAGUGAUUAAUAAAUUUAGUGCAUGCCUCAAAUUGUUACAUAGAGCCACUUCAACAUAUAGUUAUACCUUCUCUGAUUAUGACGACCUGUUGGUAGAUGCAGACACAUUCGCUGAUAUCACAUGUGCAUAAUUAAAGCAUCUUAUGUGCCGGCAAUGUCUUCUGAUAUUUAAUUUAAUUGUUUGUCUUUAAUGAGACAUAUUAUGCUCAUUUUCAGGUUCAUAAUUUUAAUUUUGGGUACCACCAUAAUAAGUUUACAUGCUUCAGUUUCCCCAUACUGCCCAGGCUUGUCUCUUUAAGGCCCCGCCUCCUGAAUACAUGGUCUCCUCAGAUUGGUCAACUCACACACGCCUGAGCCAGCGACACUGACAACAACAGAGCAGCUGUGCUAAAUCAAUUCUUAGGUGCCGACCUAGCCACUGAGCAAAACGUUUGUAAAUAUG
rnacentral:lncRNA from 1 species